GCCCAGGUUGAUCCUGCCAAUAUUCAUAUGCUUGUCUCAAAGAUUAAGUCAUGCAUGUCUCAGUGCAUGCCGAAUUAAAAUGAAAUCGCGAAUGGCUCAUUAAAUCAGUUAUGGUUCAUUAGAUUGUACCCACAUUUACUUAAUGGAUGGAACUGUGAUAAUUCUAAAGCUAAUAAUGCAAAAUAGAGUCCCGACCAGCGAGAGAACAGACGUUUUUAUUAGAUCAAAUCGGUGGCGGGUGGUUGUCCCCCGUUUACCGUUUAUUUUGGUGAUUCUGAGUAAUUUUGUGCUGAUCGCACGGUCUUAGCAUCGGCGACGCAUCUUUCAAAUGUUUGCCUUAUCAACUGUCGAUGGUAGGUUUUGCGCUUACCAUGUUGUAACAGGUAACGGGGAAUCAGGGUUCGAUUCCGGAGAAGGAGCCUGAGAAACGGCAUCCAAGGAAGGCAGCAGGUCCGCAAAUUACUCACUCCCGACACGGGGAGGUAGUGACGAAAAAUAACGAUACGGGUCUCAU
rnacentral:ncRNA from 1 species